rnacentral:lncRNA from 1 species
GUUGGCAGCUUUGGCACAGAAAAAGGACCCCCUUGAAACCCAUCUCCCUCACACCACUCCCUUCAUAAAACCCGCCGGAAACCAGCCCGCGCACGACCUUUCUCAUCGGAACUGGUCAUUUCUGCUUCAUCAUUAACACACACACUGGCACAAGAUGAAAAAAUCAAACACAACCGCCUCCUUCAUCUUCAAAUCCCCCUCUCUCUCGUUUUUCUAGUCUCAAUCUCCAUCGCCUACGAGAUUCGCCUAAAGCUGGCGAAAAUUGACCCCCUUAACCUAUUAGUUACCGUUCAAUUCUCUGAGUUUCAGAACCACUUGUUACACAAAGCUUCAGUUCUCCGCAAUCGGAAUUCAAGGAGGCAAGCUGCUUGAUUUUGUUUUGAAUCCGAGGCAAUCCGGUUAGCGUUCGAUGAGAUCUCCGGCGAGAUUUUCCGGCUUAAACCUCGUUCGUGGUCUUGUUCGUUCCAUCGACUAGCAUUUUCAGAAAUGUAAGUCAAUUAAAUUUAAGGUUCACUUGGGUUAUUUCCCCCUUCUUGCUAUUUUAAUUUGAUUUCACGCUUUUGUGGUUUGUAAACCUAUUUUGACUGGAAUCUUGGAUUUAAUAUCUCAUCUCCUUGCUCAUGAUUUCUUAACAAUAUUUGGUUGUGGUUUUGCUAUUCCAUGUUAUGGUCGAUCUAUUUUUGCUUAUUUUGUACUAGGAUGAAAAUCUGGUUGAUUUGUGUUUUAAUACGGAAUUUAGCUCGAUUUAUGUCGACCUAAUUCCCUAGCAACAGUGUAGUUUGUUUUAAUUUCAUAUAUAAGGUUUUCAUAUGUGCUUGAUAUAGUUUCACUUAGUUUAAGUGAAGAUUUUCUUGAUUCAGUAUAUUGGCAUUCUUCUCUUGUGGAAGUCAUGGAUAAGUCUAGAGUCUCUCGUGGAAUUGAAAUUCUGUUAACCAACUUGACAAUUUGUAAAGAUAAGUUGCUCGCACUCAAGGCUUUGGAUGUUGUAAUUAAAGCUUAUUCUGAUUCUAAUUUGUUUGAUAAAGAUGUUGAAUUGUAUUACUUCAUGCUCAAAACUUACACGAUUUGGUUCACAUGGAGUUACUGUUAAUUCUUUACUCGUUAAUAGAGUUGUAUUAUUGUCAUAAGGUUGAGUAAAUAGGGGAAGGUUAAAGAAGGGAGGAAACUGGUUGAGGAUAGAUUGAGGCAAGCCAUCGAAAUUAAUUUAUGGCCCUCAUAAAGUAAUUUAAAAAUCUGUUUUUUGUUAGAAUAAAUUGAGGUGCAUUGUGCCGAACAAGAUUGAUGAAUUGUGUGGCCCUCUUUAAUUAUGUCUUUAAAAUACUUAGAACCUGGGACGUGCCGUUUAGCAAAUUUUCAUGGCCUCCCGCAAGUUAAUAACACGUUAGUCGCUUUAGGCGCGUUCUUUAAUAAUCGUACCUUUCUAAAUUCGGGUAUGCAUUUCAUGCGACCCAAAUCCAAAUCCCAAAAUGUUGAAUAAAAUGUGUCGAGGAUCCGGGUGCAUUUCAUGUGGCGUGAUCAAAAAACAUGUUUUAAACGAUGUUCAAUUUCUUAAAUUUUAAUUGAAAGCGGUAAAUAAUUCUAAAAGUUGCAUUGUAGAAUAACAUGAAUUAAAAAUCAUAUUUUAGCCAAAUACAAAUAGUUGAGCGACCGUGCUAGAAUCACGGAACUCGAGAGUGUCUAACACCUUUUUCCGGGUUAACAGAAUUCCUUACCCGGAUUUCUGACUCGCAGACUGUAUACAGAGUCAAACCAUCCUUGAUUCCAUAUUUAAACCGGUGACUUGGGACACCAUUAAUUAUCUCAAGUGGAGACUCUAAAAUUCUCUUAAAUAAAUGAAUCCUAUUUCGAUUGUCCUUUAAUUGGAAAAUUUUCCUUUAACUACGCCUUUCGCCAGGUGUAGGUGUAAAAAGGAGGUGUGACAGCUCUGGCGACUCUGCUUGGGAUCGAACCCAGAAUCUCUGGUUCAGGGUCAAGAAUUUGAGCUUGAAUAAAUGUUAUAUUUGGCUUUCUGAUUUUCCUACAUGUUCCAUGUUGUAUGUGCUAAAUACUUUACCGCUUUGAUAUUUAUUGAACUGUAUAUAAAC